rnacentral:lncRNA from 1 species
UGCAAAACUCAACCUUUCUCGUCUUUGUCUUUUUUUAUGCAGGAGCUACCGUCCCUGCCGUACAGCCUGGUCGAGGGUCAGGACUGCACCUCUGAACAUUCAGCCUGCUUCUCCAGUGCCAACAACAGUCCGCAUGCCUCAACAUUUAUCUGAGUUGCUGAGAGGAAGAGGAAGAAGAGGAAAGAUGCUGAAAACUGACAACCACACAGCCCGAUUUUCUUGUGCCAGCUGGUCGCUGACCAGACAUUUCUUCUUUGUUCUAAGCCCCCUCAACGACCCCAUAAGGUAAGCACCAUCUCUGCCUUCACUGUGUUGGUGAGGAAACCAAAACCGGAGUCCAGUGAUGGACCCCAGGGCUUAGAGGCUGCAUCCACCCGCUGAGCCACUCCGUCGCCGGGGCACAGUCUUCUGGCUUCACCCCAAGCCCGUGAAACUGUCUCUCCC